UCCUGCACAUCUCAAACUCUAAUUGCCCUAUCCCUCACACCCACUCUCUCUCAGGCGUUGUCACCUCGCUGCCAAUGUUUCCCUCUCGACGGACGGACAAAUGAGAAGGACGAACCAUCCUCACAAUCUUCACCCCUCUGCUCGGCUACUCCGUCUCCCGUCCUCCGCCUCACCGUUCAGUCGAAAAUCGCGGCGUCGUCUGCUUGUGCUCGACUAUUUCUCAGUCACCGUUCUCCCAGCCGCGCCGCACCACCACCACCGAUCGCACGUCGCGGCUAUUACAGCCGCCUUCAACCGCGCUCUCCCUUGGACCUGCUCUAACCCUAGCCGCCCUCUCCCUAGGACCGGCUCUCUCUCUAAGCUGUUGUCACCGCGCCUUUUGUCUUUCAAAUCUAAUUGCAUUUCCUUGAUUGUUCAAUUUGACAAAAAUCAAAGCUACUUAAUUGUAUUACUUCUCGUUUUUUACUAUCAUGAUUAAAUUUCCUUACUUCGCUCGUCCUUUGUGAUUGCAGGUUUUCUAGGACAUGCAUUAUUUGGGUAAAGAUUGGGGGAUAUAUUUUUGUGAUGAUGAUAAUGGGGAUUCUGCAGAUCGGAAAGUGCUCUUAGAGGUAAAUAAUUAUAGAAAUUAUUAACAUAUAAGGUUAUUUUGAAACAUGUUGAUUAUGCAAUUUAGGCAGAAUAACUUUCUUGUGACUCAUUUCAUGAUUGGAGUUUGUAAGCUAACUUCGAUGGCUAUUAUACUGAGGUAUAUUUUGAUGAUUGUCAGGUUGGUUUUGGUUUUGGAGCUGGUAAUACUUCUUUUUCUCUGAUUAAUUGUUGUCUAUCCCAUGUUCUUUUGCUGGCUUUUUCUGUAACUGUAAGAUCUGUAUUAUAUUGAGAAUAGAUGAAAUGAUAAAUUUUGAAAUCCAUAGGAAUAUUAUAGAAAUAACUAAUUGAGCUGUAUGUGAAGCAAAUGAUGCUUUGUUUUAUUUUUCCUUUACUCUAUUUUUGAAUCAUAAGUUAUGCAAUGUUUUGAUCACUUCGAAUAUUUCCCUUCAAUGAGAAUGGAUAUAUUUAUCCCUUAGGAUCUACUGUUAAGAUCCUUGAGUAUGUCAAUCAAGUUCAUAUAUGUUGUAUAUUGAUCUUUGCACAGAGUGUCUGUUUUUGUUGCUGGUUUUAUUCAGCUAGUGUCGUCAAAAUAAUUGGGAACCAAUACCUUAUAGUAUCAUAUAUCUGUACUUGUUUGCCUUUUCAUUUUUAUUAGUUGGCUAAGGUUUUUUGUCAUGAGGAGUGAAUUGGUUUCUUUUAUUAAAGUUAGACCAGACCUGAAUAAGGCACCAUUAGUUUGCUUUUCAAUCUCAAAUACUAAUGCGAUGUUUCAUGUUAGAUAGUUGCAUUCUUAUAUUUAUUAGACUUUGCACAUUAUUUACUUCAUUUUCCUAAAACCUUAACAGGUUCUCAUCCAAGGUUUAAGUGUGCCUUGCAAGAGAAUUUUCUUUUUUGGGUAACUUAUAUCGAUCCAUUUAUACUCACUCUUGUUUCUUCUAGCUUGAGAAUUGAUUCUUUCAAUAACUGAAAUCAAUUGAUUCAAACUAACAAUUGGAUCAAUUAUAAUUUUUAAGUUAUUUUAACUUUGUUAUUUGUACCUUAAAAUAUGUUAAAUUGUGUAUGUUGACUAAUAUCUUGUUUCUCUUAUCUUGGCAGGAGUUAUUGAAAAAGUUGUCACGAUGGUUAACCAAUGUUCAACUCUUCCAAUGUACAAUGGAGUGACUUUUUGAUCAAGAGCUUGAAGAAAAAUUAUGAGUCCUAGAUUAAUUGCGAGUUGUAGAUUAAGUGCUUAGUAAUUUAGACAUUUAAAAUUAUAUGUAGUUAGUAAUUUCAGACUUGUACUUUGAUUUUGUUAAAUAUUUUUUUAUGUAAAUGUUCUGUAUGAUAUUCUUGUUAUAUUUAAUGUGUUGAGUAUUUGAUUUUUGAUUUUUUUAUUAUAAUUAUAAUUAUGAUUAUAAUUGACUAAUAAAAGGUUAUAAUAUUUGAAAAUAGUAAUAUUUUUUCUAAAAUUCAAUUACUAAAAAAAUAUUUUUCUCCACACAUAUAAAUAUACCUUUAGUGACAUAUAUAUGUAGGCAAAUAUUUGAUGAUUUACCCACACAUAAAAUUUGCCACGUGUAAAUGCCAUGUCAUUUCCACAUCAUCGCUGCAGUAUAUCAUAAAUAUCUUUUCCCACACAUAAAAUGUAUUAUUCGUGACAUAUAUAUGUGUAGGUAAAUGUUUGGUGAUUUACCCACACAUAUACAUAUGUGUGGAUAAUACCCUUUCUUCACAAAGUUUUAUCCACACAUGUUGACAUUUGACUUUUGUGUGGGUAAAAAGAAACAGUGACACAUAAAUAUACUUUUAGCCACACAUCCAUGUGUGGCUAAAACCCUUAAUUUCUUGUAGUGAGAGAGAAAGAAGAGUGUCUGCGAUUUGGGGAUUUGGGGGAAGAGGAUUUGUUGGGUAUUUUCUUUUUGUUUUAAGGGUAUCUUAGUCCUUUCAACUCCAAAAAAAAUACAUUUUAUAUACUAUUAUUUUAUAGUGGAUAUAUUUUUAUUUUUGUCAUUCAAAUAGGGUAGAGACUACUAUUAACCCAAAUUACUACUAUAUGUUACAAAUCUAUCAACUGCGAGAAAUACUAUUUUACUUUUAGUGAAGAUAAUGUGAGUGACAAUAGUAAUUAAAUUCAAAAAAUAUACUCAUACUUUGGCAUAUUUUAUUUUAAACAGAUAACGAAAUCAAAUUAAAUAAAUGUGUGAAAAUACUGGGAAAAAAAACUAUGAUUCCAUGAAUAAAAUACAACAAAUUCUUCUCUUAAUUUACACAAUCUAUAUGCACUAAAAAAUCAAAAUAAAAUAAGCAUAUAAAAAAAGUCUACUUCUCUUAAAAAAAAUUCAAGCCCAAGCCCAAGCUCAAGCCCAAACCUUUUAACUCCCCAAAUAAAAACAGCUCUCUUUUCUCCUUUUUCUUCACACAAGUGUAUCAUGAUUUAUGCAAUUCUACUGGUUUUUUGUUUUGUUUGUCUUCGUUUGAUCUCCUCUCCUUCUCUCAUUCUUUCCAAAAGAGCAUUUGCUCCACCUUCUUCCGCCGCAGAAUCAGUUAUCGUCCUAUCGUGAUUUUUCUUUUCUAUAGAGAGAGAGAGAUCGGAAAUUCAAAAAAAUUUGCAACUUAUUUUUGAAGUAUCAACUACUUAUACCGUUAUAUACGAGCAUUCUAAAUAAUUAAACUUAAAAGAUGUUGGAUUGUGCAAUUUGCGCGUUUUUGUCGGCAACCAGUCUGUUGGAUUGUUAAUUUUUCUCGGUGACUUUGCGAUUUGCUUGAUGAGGACUUAUCUUAAUAUAUGAGCACGUCUUGGUUUUCAAAAUAUAUAUAAAAAAAAAAAAAGAAACUUAAAAGGUGUUAGUAAAAUACUAUCACGCAAUUCAAUUAAUUUAUAAAAUAAUUAUUGAAAUUGAAUAAUUAUCAUAUUAUAUAAUUUGAGUAGUUAAUAAAAAUUUCACAUUUUAAUAUAUACAUAUAUCACUAUAUAUAUAUAUAUAUAUAUAUAUAUAUAGUAAGGNAUAUAUAUAUAUAUAUAUAUAUAUAUAUAGGGGAUGUCAAUCGGGCCAACCCACUCGGUUUCGGGCCAGUCCAUUCGGUUUCGGGUUAUUUUCGGUUCGGGCUAGUCGGUUUUUUUAUUUUUCGGGCUAAAUUUUUUUGACCCUAAUCCUAACCCACUCAGUUUCGGGCUAGCCCGUUCGGGUCCGAAAGUUAUAAUUUUUUAUUAUGUUAAUUUUUUUUUUAAAUAAUCAUAUCUUGUAAUAAAAUAUGUCGUAUUUUUUAAAUCAAGACAUUUCGCCUUAUUUUAGAUACAAAAAUUAGUAUUUUUUUAACGUAAGUUUACAUAAUAUGUAACUUUAACUUCGUUACCGAUAUAAAUUGUAUACAGAUUUAAUAUAAAUGACUAUCUUUCUUUGACUUUUAUAUCAUAGAUGAUUGUUAUUAAUCGUUGGAAAAAAUCAAAACAUAUUCUACAAGCAUCAAAAUGUUAUUAUCGAGUUAAAAAGUAAAGUAUUAAAGUUUAAAAAUUAAUUAUUAAGAAAAUGUUCGGUUAAUCGGGCCAAUCCACUCGGUUUUCGGGCCAACCCUAUCGAGCUCGGGCUAUUUUCGGUUUGGGCCAUUCGGGCUUAAAAUUUUCAGCCAUAACCCACCUUUUUUAUCGGUCUAUUUGGGUCGACCCGUCGAUUUGGGGCUUUUUUGACAUCCCUAUAUAUGUAUAUAGGCCGUAAUAUUAGAAAAUGAUAAGAAAAAUAUAUACGUAAUCUUACACUCAAAUAAAUGUUUUUCAAACUUCUCAAUAGGUCUAAUAAUCUUAAGAGAAAAUAUUAAAAAGCUAAAAUUCAAGUGACUUUAUUAAUUAGUUCAAUAUUUUAAUUAUUUUCACAAAAGUAAAUCAAUAUAAUUUGCUUUAGUGAUACACAUCUUUAUAUGCCAAUGAGACCUUGCUCUAGUGGCAAAGCUAAGACACCCAAAGACUUUCCUUUAUAUGAGAGGUUUUUUAAUCUCGUCAGCGUGCGGUGAUGUUUUCUCACUUUAGGUGGUGUUGUAUUUUCGCCUUCGUGCGGUGUUGUAUAAUUUGUAUUGUUUGGUGUUGAGGUCCCUCUCGCCUGCUGUGGUGAUGUUUUCUCAUCAUUUGGGUGGUGCUGAGGUCUCGUCUGCGUGCAAAUUGCAUAAUUGAUUAUAUUUAGAUACCUAUUGUAAUUUCAAAAAAAAAAGAUGCACAUCUUUAUAUAAAAGUAGAAAUAUUAUGUUACGAAAAUUAUGAAUAGAUUUGUGGUAUAACAAAACUUUGCAUUGACGGUAAUAGUUGAAAAAAAUAUAUAUUUGCUUAAAUAAAAGUUAAAAAUAAUAAUAUUAUUUAUUUAUUUGUGCACCUUAAAAUAAAUAUUAGUGUAUUGAUUUUCAAUUAUAUAUGUGUUUGUGUGUUUAUUCAUUUAAGUGUUACACAAUGCCAACAUAUAUGGGUAAAGAAGUAAAGAUACAUAUACAACUAUAUCUCUUUGUAAAACUAUAUGUUAUUUUAUCAUUCAAUUUAACCAUUGAUUGUGUUCCUAUAAAAGAACAUAUGAAAAAGAAAAUAUAAUGAAUGUAUUUUUACAUGAUUAAAUUUAUCGAAAUAUUGUUAGAAAACGCCACACAUAAGAUGAAAUCACGAAAUACAUUCUACAAGUAUAUUAUUCUAAAAGUAUCAUUUAUAUAAAUAAUUAGUGAGUAGUUUUGAAGAGUUUAAAUUUAUUUAGAAUUGCCGAUGAGGCCUUGCUCUAGUGGCAAAGCUGAGCCACCCAAAGACUCUCUUUUGUGAGAGGUCUUGGGUCCAAUCCCGCUUGACGACGAUAUUUUCCCACUUUAAGUGGUGAUGUAUUCUUGUUGUAUUAAAAAAAAAUAGAAUUGUGAUUGAACUGAGAUUCUUAUAUGUUCAUGGUUAAGAUAGUAAUAAUAAUAUAAUGUUGCAUUAUUAAAUCUAAAAUAAAUUAAAUAAAGACUUAAUAAGCAAAUUAAAUUUUAUAAAACAAAACUCUUUUAUAAGUAUAGAUUAAGUUGUAGGGUUGAGCAUAAUCCGAAAUGAACAUCUUGUGACCCAUUUAUUUAUUUAAAAGACAACAAAAGCUACAUAUAUUUGGUAAUAAAGGUUCUCUGUCAAAUUGUUUUAUUCCGCUAGUCGACUACUGACAAUUUUAUUUUUUAUUCUUUUCUCGUCGUCAUCCCUAAAUUCCAUGCUCAUAGACCCUUUUCCGUCAACGGACCCUCAUCACAUUACAACCACAAUUCUCAUUCAAAUCCAAAUUUCCAUCUCAACCAAUCGAUAUGGCUUGAAUAAAAUCUCCCUUAUCCAUAUAUGUAGAUGAAAAUAAUUACUUGCGACACAAAAAGUAAAAUUAAAAAAUAACCUAUACAAAGAUUCAUUAAUUGAUACGCCCCUUUUCUAAGCUUAAGCACGUGUAUCAAGAAUCGGACUUCUUGAUUUGAGUUUGCCCUAUAAUAAGGAAGAAAUAGAACUCGUAAAUAUAUAGUAACGGAAAAUCUUGUAUCAUGUGUGAUGUUCGUCUCUCAGUUUACUUUUUGCCUUAUGGGGAUCUCAAUUAUCCAUUUUCUAAAUUUGAAUAUUCAUCUCUAGAAAUGUCUAGCUACAGCACAAACUUAGUACUCUUAACUUUUUAAGGGUAAGUUUAUUUUUGAGGAUUGUUGUAAUUUUUUUUUUAUUUUGAUUAAAUUUCAAAUCUUUUGAAAUAAUUGGUGGCCUAACUGUUAUAUAGAUUUAUAGCUCAUUUGUUAGGGAGCUUGUUUGUGUUUUUUUUUUUUUUCGAGGAGGAGGGAGCUUGUUUUAUUAUUCACCAGUAUUCAACUAAGGGAAAAUCUAACAAUCAAGGUCUGUGUAAGCUUCUCUCAAAAAAAAAAAAAGGUCUGUGUAAGCUAUUUCGUAAUCAAAGGAAGACCGUCAGCUUACAAAUCGACCAACUAAGCAACCAUUAUCAACUGAAGUGCUAUGUGAAAUGAAGAAUGUAUAAGUCAACUGACUACAAAUUUGUUGAUGGAAAAGUGCAUAAAGAAGAAGUCACUUUACUACAAGCUUUGUUGAUGUUAGCUUAGGUUAUUAUAAGUAAAGAAUAAUCAGCCAAUGAUAACCAAGCUGAAGAUUAAUGGUCUCUAACAAAAUGUGCAGAACAUAUUGUAAAAAAUGGUGUACUAUAUUGCAGCGAUUAAUGUACUAUAUUGCAAAUACUGAAAAUGAUCCACACAAGAAAACAGAACAAAAGAACAAGGGUUCAGAGGAGAAAUACUUCUUGAUGAGUU
rnacentral:lncRNA from 1 species